AUGUACUCAUUAGCGUCAAUGGCACUUUCUAUAAGACCGGCACCGGAGGUGGGCCAGUAAGUGAUCCCUAGGCUCCGUACGUCCUCCCUACACUGUGUUCGCUGUGCUGUCACCUAUGAAAGGUAUUUGGCUGUGUACCAGACGCUUCCGGGUAGUGUUUUGUUGAUCUACCGAAGGUCUUGACUGAAAAGACGCCGUGUACGCGCAGGUUGCACUGUCUAUUGGGAGAUGCGUUAAGGUUUGCGUACUGGAGAGAUACCAGGGAGUCCCAUUUCCAUUCAUGUUGAGUGGUGUAUUCCUAGAGGUAAAAGGAAACCUUGUUGUAUUGUAUCUGUAUUGGUUUAGGCUGUAUUUACCAUAAACAAUGGAUUUUAACUGUGUUUGUUUACUCCUUUAGAAAGAUUGCCACUGCUGCUUUGCCUCCUGUAGAUUUAAGUAAUUGUAGCUCUUGCCUCAUUUUGUUUUCUUUAUUUUGUUUUGUUUGUCCGAUUGAUUUGGCCUAAACAUAGGUGUGG